GAUGAACGCUGGCGGCGUGCCUAAUACAUGCAAGUCGAGCGAACGGACGAGAAGCUUGCUUCUCUGAUGUUAGCGGCGGACGGGUGAGUAACACGUGGAUAACCUACCUAUAAGACUGGGAUAACUUCGGGAAACCGGAGCUAAUACCGGAUAAUAUUUUGAACCGCAUGGUUCAAAAGUGAAAGACGGUCUUGCUGUCACUUAUAGAUGGAUCCGCGCUGCAUUAGCUAGUUGGCAAGGUAACGGCUUACCAAGGCAACGAUGCAUAGCCGACCUGAGAGGGUGAUCGGCCACACUGGAACUGAGACACGGUCCAGACUCCCACGGGAGGCAGCAGUAGGGAAUCUUCCGCAAUGGGCGAAAGCCUGACGGAGCAACGCCGCGUGAGUGAUGAAGGUCUUCGGAUCGUAAAACUCUGUUAUUAGGGAAGAACAUAUGUGUAAGUAACUGUGCACAUCUUGACGGUACCUAAUCAGAAAGCCACGGCUAACUACGUG
rnacentral:rRNA from 1 species